rnacentral:rRNA from 1 species
CGGCGCACGGUGAGUAACACGUAUCCAACCUGCCGAUGACUCGGGGAUAGCCUUUCGAAAGAAAGAUUAAUACCCGAUGGCAUAGUUCUUCCGCAUGGUGGAACUAUUAAAGAAUUUCGGUCAUCGAUGGGGAUGCGUUCCAUUAGGUUGUUGGCGGGGUAACGGCCCACCAAGCCUUCGAUGGAUAGGGGUUCUGAGAGGAAGGUCCCCCCACAUUGGAACUGAGACACGGUCCAAACUCCUACGGGAGGCAGCAUG